CCAGAACACACAAGGACGUAGUGAGGCCACCUUACAUCUGACUGUUGCAGCAGGUGCAUGGAAAUCAGCAGUGACUGGAACAACCACAGCUCUUCUCCUGGUGGUCAUACUCCUCGCUGUCUUCCUGUGGAUCAGAAGAAACAAGUCCUUCACACAACAGCGUGAGUGCGGUGAGAGACCAGAAGACAGAGCGCAGAUUUCAGCUGCGGCACACACACGACCAGCAGAGCCGCAC